rnacentral:lncRNA from 1 species
AAUAUCUCUCAUUAGGCGACAUGAGUAGAGGAUGAUGCCAUAAAUCAUCUAAAGCCACCCUACAAAUAAAAUUAAAUGAUUCCAUAAAAAAGUAGAGAAAUGGAAAGAAAAGAGAGAAUAUUUUAUAUUAAAUAGUUCCCUUACUUCGUUUGAUCAACCAUGAAAUAAAAGUGUGUCAGCAUCACUCUUGUAUUUCCCUCCUCCACGCUUGUAUUAUCAUCCCUUUCAAGUAUGCUCGUAACCAAAGAUUUAAAUUUGCUCCUAUAAGUUGUCAAAUUCUCUGUAUUGGAUGAAUUUGGAAUGUCUUUGAUAUAUGCUCGAUAAGACUUACGAUCGAUGCAUAUGUUAUCAAGU